rnacentral:rRNA from 1 species
UGCAAGUCGAGCGCAGUCCUUCGGGACCGAGCGGCGGACGGGUUAGUAACGCGUGGGAACAUACCCUUUUCUACGGAAUAGCCUCGGGAAACUGAGAGUAAUACCGUAUAAGCCCUUCGGGGGAAAGAUUUAUCGGGAAAGGAUUGGCCCGCGUUAGAUUAGAUAGUUGGUGGGGUAAUGGCCUACCAAGUCUACGAUCUAUAGCUGGUUUUAGAGGAUGAUCAGCAACACUGGGACUGAGACACGGCCCAGACUCCUACGGGAGGCAGCAGUGGGGAAUCUUAGACAAUGGGCGCAAGCCUGAUCUAGCCAUGCCGCGUGUGUGAUGAAGGUCUUAGGAUCGUAAAGCACUUUCGCCAGGGAUGAUAAUGACAGUACCUGGUAAAGAAACCCCGGCUAACUCCGUGCCAGCAGCCGCGGUAAUACGGAGGGGGUUAGCGUUGUUCGGAAUUACUGGGCGUAAAGCGUACGUAGGCGGAUCAGAAAGUUAGGGGUGAAAUCCCGAGGCUCAACCUCGGAACUGCCUCUAAAACUCCUGGUCUUGAGUUCGAGAGAGGUGAGUGGAAUUCCAAGUGUAGAGGUGAAAUUCGUAGAUAUUUGGAGGAACACCAGUGGCGAAGGCGGCUCACUGGCUCGAUACUGACGCUGAGGUACGAAAGUGUGG